rnacentral:rRNA from 1 species
GACGAACGCUGGCGGCGUGCUUAACACAUGCAAGUCGAACGGAAAGGCCUGCUUUCCCUUGUGGAUUGCGGGUACUCGAGUGGCGAACGGGUGAGUAACACGUGAGUGAUCUGCCCCCAACUUGGGUAUAAGCCUGGGAAACUGGGUCUAAUUCCCGAUAGGACUGCAGGGUGGUGCCUGUGGUGGAAAACGAUUUUCUAGUGUUUGGGGAUGAGCUCGCGGCCUAUCAGCUUGUUGGUGGGGUAAUGGCCUACCAAGGCGGCGACGGGUAGCCGGCCUGAGAGGGUGGACGGCCACAUUGGGACUGAGAUACGGCCCAGACUACUACGGGAGGAAGCAGUGGGGAAUAUUGCACAAGGGGCGGAAGCCAGAUGCAGCGACGCCGCGUGGGGGAUGACGGCCUUCGGGUUGUAAACUCCUUUCGACAGCGAGGAAGCCACGUGGUUGGAAGGGUGGUGACGGUAGUGGUAGAAGAAGCACCGGCUAACUACGUG